GGGUGCGCGUUGCUAUACAUGCAGUCGAGCGGACAGAUGGGAGCUUGCUCCCUGAUGUUAGCGGCGGACGGGUGAGUAACACGUGGGUAACCUGCCUGUAAGACUGGGAUAACUCCGGGAAACCGGGGCUAAUACCGGAUGGUUGUUUGAACCGCAUGGUUCAAACAUAAAAGGUGGCUUCGGCUACCACUUACAGAUGGACCCGCGGCGCAUUAGCUAGUUGGUGAGGUAACGGCUCACCAAGGCAACGAUGCGUAGCCGACCUGAGAGGGUGAUCGGCCACACUGGGACUGAGACACGGCCCAGACUCCUACGGGAGGCAGCAGUAGGGAAUCUUCCGCAAUGGACGAAAGUCUGACGGAGCAACGCCGCGUGAGUGAUGAAGGUUUUCGGAUCGUAAAGCUCUGUUGUUAGGGAAGAACAAGUACCGUUCGAAUAGGGCGGUACCUUGACGGUACCUAACCAGAAAGCCACGGCUAACUACGUGCCAGCAGCCGCGGUAAUACGUAGGUGGCAAGCGUUGUCCGGAAUUAUUGGGCGUAAAGGGCUCGCAGGCGGUUUCUUAAGUCUGAUGUGAAAGCCCCCGGCUCAACCGGGGAGGGUCAUUGGAAACUGGGGAACUUGAGUGCAGAAGAGGAGAGUGGAAUUCCACGUGUAGCGGUGAAAUGCGUAAAGAUGUGGAGGAACACCAGUGGCGAAGGCGACUCUCUGGUCUGUAACUGACGCUGAGGAGCGAAAGCGUGGGGGAGCGAACAGGAUUAGAUACCCUGGGGAGUCGGCACCGUGAAACGAUGAGUGCUAAGUUGUUAGGGGGGUUUCCGCCCCCUUAGUACUGGCAGCUAACGCAGUUAAGGACUCCGCGCUGGGGGAGGGGGAUCGCGAGGACGGAAGCGGCAAAAGGAGAGAGAGAAGGGAGCCCGCGACGAA
rnacentral:rRNA from 1 species